GGCAGGAUUACAGGUGUGAGCCACUGUGCCCAGCCAAAUACUAAGUUAAUUUUAAUAAGCCCCCCAAUACUGACAUAACACCUAAACUUAGCAAUUUACGGCCCAGUUAAGGUUUAGCUUUGUCUCGUUAAAAGAAAAACUCCAGCAGAAUUAAAUUUAAAGGAGUUUAAUUGAGCAAUGACCUUGCGAAGCUGGUAGCCCCCAGAAUCACAACAGAUUCAGAUAGACCCCAGCACAGCCACGUGGUGGAAGAAGAUUUAUAGACAAAGGGAAGCAACAUACCGAAAUCGGAAGUGAUGUUCAGAAACAACAGGACUGGGUAUAGCUCCGUGUUUGCCUUAUUUGAAUACAGUUUGAACACUGGGCAGUGUGUGAGUGGUGGAAACACGGCUGCUGGGAUUGGUCAAGACUCAGGGAUUGUUGCAGGCACAUACGUUUGAUUUUCAAUCUUGUCUACCUAUUACAUUAGGUUGCACUUCAUCUACAAGGACUCACAUAGAGAAGUACAAAGUCCUUCUCAGGUCGUAUGUAGUUUGCUUUAACAGUCUAGUCUCUUAAGCAUGCCUUGCAUUGUGUGUUAUUAAUUUGCUUUAAUUGUGUGGCCAAGGUGGCUGGUCAUCGUGAGUCUGAUGAGGAGGAGUUCUACCCAUUUAACAGUUAGUGAGGCUCAGAAACUCAUAAAGGUUUUUAUUUUUAUUUUUAACAGCUUGCCUAAAAAUCAUAUGACUUUGACUUAGGCAGCAUUUAAACCCAGAUCUAUUUGGCUCCAAAGCCUUCACCAUGAUCUAGGUCUGAGUAUUUGUGGUCCCCCCAAAAUUUUAUGUUGGAUCCUAAUCCCCAGGGUGACAGUAUUAGGCGGCGGGGUGUCUGGGAGGUGAUUAGGGCUUAAGGCAGAGUCCUCAUUAAUGAGAUUAGUGCCCUUAUAAAAGAGGCCCCAGUGAGCUCCCUGAACCUUUUAUUAUGUGAGAACACAGCUUGAAGGUGCCUCCCUGAGCCUGAAGGUGACCCUCACCAGACACUGAAUCUGCCCCACUUUGGUCUUGGACUUCUCAACCUCCAGAACUGUGAGAAAUUUCUGUUAUUUCAAAGGUACCUGGUUUGUGGUAUUUGGUGACAGCAGCACAAGUGGACAAAGGCAGCCUUUCCUUAUUUCAGCUCACUAUGAGAUCUCUUUAACAAAGAACCAACCCUGCUUCCCCCCCCGCUGUCAGUACUGCAAAGGAUCUUCUGAGGUUCUGCUGUGUAACACAGCAGCCACGAGCCACAUGUGGUCUAUUGAACUCUGCAAAUGUAUCUAGCUGGCAUUGAGAUAUGCUGUAAAAGCUUCCCAGGAUUUCAAAACCUUGCUAAGAAAAAGAGAAUGUAAAAUAUCUCAUUCAUAACGUUUUUAUAUUGAUUAUGUGUUGAAGUGAUAAUACUAUGGCUUUUUGGGGCAAAGUAAAACAUGAAUUUCAGUUCAUUA